rnacentral:rRNA from 1 species
UACGGGGGGUGCAAGCGUUGUUCGGAUUUACUGGGCGUAAAGGGCGCGUAGGCGGUCAUGACAAGUCAGUUGUGAAAUCUCCGGGCUUAACUCGGAACGGUCAACUGAUACUGUCGGACUAGAGUGCAGAAGGGGCAACUGGAAUUCUCGGUGUAGCGGUGAAAUGCGUAGAUAUCGAGAGGAACACCUGCGGCGAAGGCGGGUUGCUGGGCUGACACUGACGCUGAGGCGCGAAAGCUAGGGGAGCGAACGGG